AACGAACGCUGGCGGCAGGCCUAACACAUGCAAGUCGAGCGAGACUCUUCGGAGUCUAGCGGCGGACGGGUGAGUAACACGUGGCAACCUGCCUGUAAGACUGGGAUAACACCGGGAAACCGGUGCUAAUACCGGAUAAUCCUUUUCCUCUCAUGAGGAAAAGCUGAAAGUCGGUUUCGGCUGACACUUACAGAUGGGCCCGCGGCGCAUUAGCUAGUUGGUGAGGUAACGGCUCACCAAGGCGACGAUGCGUAGCCGACCUGAGAGGGUGAUCGGCCACACUGGGACUGAGACACGGCCCAGACUCCUACGGGAGGCAGCAGUAGGGAAUCUUCCACAAUGGACGAAAGUCUGAUGGAGCAACGCCGCGUGAGCGAUGAAGGCCUUCGGGUCGUAAAGCUCUGUUGUUAGGGAAGAACAAGUACCGGAGUAACUGCCGGUACCUUGACGGUACCUAACCAGAAAGCCACGGCUAACUACGUGCCAGCCGCCGCGGUAAAAC
rnacentral:rRNA from 1 species